rnacentral:tRNA from 1 species
GGAGAGAUGGCUCAGAGGUUAAGAGCACUGGCUACUCCCAGAGGACCUGGGUUCAAUUCCCAGCACCCCCA